rnacentral:rRNA from 1 species
UACGUAGGGUGCAAGCGUUGUCCGGAAUUAUUGGGCGUAAAGAGCUCGUAGGCGGUUUGUCGCGUCUGUCGUGAAAGCUUGGGGCUUAACCCCAAGUCUGCGGUGGAUACGGGCAGACUAGAGGCAGGUAGGGGAGAACGGAAUUCCCGGUGUAGCGGUGAAAUGCGCAGAUAUCAGGAGGAACACCGGUGGCGAAGGCGGGUCUCUGGGCCGAUACUGACGCUGAGGAGCGAAAGCGUGGGGAGCGAACAGG